rnacentral:rRNA from 1 species
UACAGAGGGGCAAGCGUUGUUCGGAAUUACUGGGCGUAAAGGGCGCGUAGGCGGCCUUCUAAGUCGAACGUGAAAUCCCCGGGCUCAACCCGGGAACUGCGUCCGAGACUGAAAGGCUCGAAUCCGGGAGAGGGAUGUGGAAUUCCGAGGUGUAGCGGUGAAAUGCGUAGAUAUCUGGAGGAACAUCGGUGGCGAAGGCGGCAUCCUGGACCGGUAUUGACGCUGAGGCGCGAAAGCCAGGGGAGCAAGCGGG